AGGCAAACUGUGGAGCAGAAGGAUUACACAGAACAGACUUUCAGACAAAAUCUUAGUGAGAUCUUUUUGUUUUGGGCAUGAGUAUCUUUUCCUACUAUCUGAAGUUUUGUCCAGCAGCUUCAUCUGUGCUAGUGUCAUCCUUUCCUGGAAUUCCCUGGAGUCUUUCCAUCUUGAAUUAGGUUUUUAAUUGCUUGUGCCUAGAAUUUCUACUUCACACACGGCAAUUCAUGUAUCCAUAAAGAUGUGCUGCAUCCACUUCAUGCUAUUGCAAAAGGUAUAGGAUUCUUGGGUCUCUAUUUUCCUGUUGAUUUAUCUAAUUUUGAUAUCUGGUUGAGCCUUUCUUUUUGUGCAUUAAGUUUUUCUUAAAAACCUCUUGCAGGGACUUUUUUCUACACCUUAUAUUUGAACUUCCAAAUAUAGCACAUUAUGUUCACUGACUCUUUUACCCACAACAGUAUUCCUGCUUGCAAAGAAAUGUGCUGACACAGGUGAAAAUUGCCUCAUAUACAGGAAGAAUGAGAUGCUGCAUUGCUCUUCCCUUAUGCCUUUGUUUUGCACAUGUAUAAUUGCAUCUACCUUGAAAAACAGAUUUUUUUUUUUUCAACGAGUAUUUUAACUUUCACAAGAUAAAAACAAAGAAUGCUUAGAAAGAAAUUGAAGUUGUAACAUAUGUCUUCAAUUCUGUAAUUCAUUGUUGAUCAAAACUUCCUAUAGUACUAAUAGAAGUUUGUAAAUGAUGAUCUCAUUAUAGGUAAGGUUGAAAUAUUUAAUGUCAGCCAGUGCAUUUCUUUAAAAAGCACUGUACCUAGUAACUAUUGUAAUUAUGCCAGGAGACAUAAGAGAAGAGAUUAGUGCAACAAGUGACCUAGCUUUAAUAAUGUCAUAAGAAUCUGUAAUUACAAAAUUAUCCACUGUGUUAUAAUGUUAACUAACAUAAUAUUCAGGUCACUCAUCAUUUGUAGCACUUCAUGAAGUAAGCAAUUAUUUUUUCCAGUGUACAAAUAUCAAGUCCAUUAAUUUUAAUAAGUCACUCGCAAAACUGAGAGCUGUAUAUUUAAGUAUAGUAAAAAAUGUCUUCAGCUGUGACUGAAAACUUGUAUUAUAACAGACAGUGUUUGACUGCCACCUUUCUAAAUCUUGGUACUGGCCAAACCUAGGAAGAUUUAGAGGUUAAGUUUGAGUUAAGAACUCAGAACUGCAAAAAAAUGCCUACAACCUACUCCAAAAUAGAUAUUGACAAUAUGUCCCAGAUUUCUUUCUUUCCAGAUAGAUUAUGUGCAUCUAUGUCCAUCCAUCCAUCCAUCCAUCCAUCCAUCCCAAUCUACCUCACAGUGUUUUAAUAUUGUAUCUUCAAGACUUAGGUCAACCUGAAAAUUAAAAAGAACCCCGAAACACA